UCCCUGUUACCAGGGCAGUCUAGCCAGAGAAAUACAACUGACUAUAAGGGUUGCGCUCGUUGAAGGACUUAACCUAACAUCUCACGACACGAGCUGACGACGGCCAUGCAACACCUGUCACUUGGUUUCCGAGGACACUCUCUCCUUUCGGAGAAAUUCCAAGGAUGUCAAGCCUGGGUAAGGUUCUUCGCUUACCAUCGAAUUAAACAACACGCUCCACCGCUUGUGCGGGUCCCCGUCAAUUCCUUUAUGUUUUAAGCUUGCGCUCGUACUCCACAGGCGGGAUGCUUAACGCGUUAGCUUCGCUACUGAUCGGGUCGAUACGACCAACAGCUAGCAUCCAUCGUUUAGGGCGUGGACUAC
rnacentral:misc_RNA from 1 species